AGUGAACGCUGGCGGCAGGCCUAAUACAUGCAAGUCGAACGGCAGCACAGCAGAGCUUGCUCUGUGGGUGGCGAGUGGCGGACGGGUGAGGAAUACGUGGGAAUCUGCCCAGUCGUGGGGGAUAACGUAGGGAAACUUACGCUAAUACCGCAUGCGCCCUUCGGGGGAAAGCCGGGGACCUUCGGGCCUGGCGCGAUUGGAUGAGCCCACGUCGGAUUAGCUAGUUGGCGGGGUAAAGGCCCACCAAGGCGACGAUCCGUAGCUGGUCUGAGAGGAUGAUCAGCCACACUGGAACUGAGACACGGUCCAGACUCCUACGGGAGGCAGCAGUAGGGAAUAUUGGACAAUGGGCGCAAGCCUGAUCCAGCCAUGCCGCGUGAGUGAAGAAGGCCCUCGGGUUGUAAAGCUCUUUUGUCCGGAAAGAAAGCGCCGGGUUAAUACCCUGGUGUCCUGACGGUACCGGAAGAAUAAGCACCGGCUAACUUCGUGCCAGCAGCCGCGGUAA
rnacentral:rRNA from 1 species